rnacentral:rRNA from 1 species
UACGGGGGGGGGCAAGCGUUGUUCGGAAUUACUGGGCGUAAAGGGCUCGUAGGCGGCCAACUAAGUCAGACGUGAAAUCCCUCGGCUUAACCGGGGAACUGCGUCUGAUACUGGAUGGCUUGAGGUUGGGAGAGGGAUGCGGAAUUCCAGGUGUAGCGGUGAAAUGCGUAGAUAUCUGGAGGAACACCGGUGGCGAAGGCGGCAUCCUGGACCGAUUCUGACGCUGAGGAGCGAAAGCCAGGGGAGCAAACGGG